GAACACCCUGGUGGAUGUCUCAUCUCUGCUGAUACUAGCUGGCUUCUCAAAUGGGAAUGAUAUUCUGAGAGCAGACAACAGGCCCCUAAUGCCAUCUGGACAUUUCACAAAUUUACCCCAAAGGUCACCAGAGGGCUUGGUACAAAGGUCAGAAAUGUCACCACAGAAGAUGGAACUUGGGUCUAUGACUAUGAUCUUGAGUCCAAGAGUUCUCAGUGGAAAUCAACCUGUUAUCUUCAUAAGAAAAACAAGCACAUCAAUCAAGAUCCAAUAUCCAGGUGAUGCCAACCAUGUUUUUUGAGCUUGGUGGAAUUAUGCAAGCUGAGUUUGUGCCCAGGAAUACUACAGCCAGCUCUGAAAAUCAUAAGGGCGUAUCGAGAAAUGAAAUUCUUAUCAUAUAAAAGCAUUACGGCAUGUUUUCAUCUACCUUAUUCCCUGGACUUCCAGCUCUUUCCCCGAAGUCAGAAAACUAUGAAAGGAAGCUGCUUCCCAAAUGUAUAAAAGAGAAUCUUCAAGACCCUCCUGCAAAGUACUUCUCAUCUGCAAGCCACAGCACGCCUAUGCCUCAUACUACUAAAAGGACAAAAGGAGGAAGUUGCUGAGCUGGUAUGAAGUGGAAAAGCCAGGACUGCAGUGGUGGUGGUGACUGCCCCCUAUCAAGCUGCAUGGCUCUCUCUAUAGCAGCUCACCCAUCUGGAAACAACCCUGGCUGCCUGGGCAGUCUGGAAGACAGGGCACCUUUGGAGGCUCACAGAGCUACUUUGAAAUCAAUCAUCAGAGGGCACUUUUACUGAACAUUUACCCAGCUGAGAGGACCCUGGAAAACAGAGCAACACUUAGAUGGGAAAAGGGACAAAGACAACUAAUAAGCAGAACCUAGCAGAAGUGUCAGAUGCAUACCACUGACCUUUGCUUCUGAAGGAGAGCUCAAGGGAUCUGCUCUCAUCUGACCUUGUGACACGGAGCCAAACAAGGCUCCAUGGAGGAGGAAGCAUCCAAACUUUGCAUUGAAAACUGAACUUAGAUAACGCAAAGACCAUGGAUUUAAGGUAGGCAAAGACACAAACAAAAGGCACAAAGUGGCAAGACUGAGAAAUGGGAAGGGAACAGCCUAGAGGAUCAGGAGAAUUGUAUGGUUGGCGGUGGAA